UACGGAGGGGGCUAGCGUUGUUCGGAAUUACUGGGCGUAAAGCGCACGUAGGCGGACUGGAAAGUCAGGGGUGAAAUCCCGGGGCUCAACCCCGGAACUGCCUUUGAAACUCCCGGUCUUGAGGUCGAGAGAGGUGAGUGGAAUUCCGAGUGUAGAGGUGAAAUUCGUAGAUAUUCGGAGGAACACCAGUGGCGAAGGCGGCUCACUGGCUCGAUACUGACGCUGAGGUGCGAAAGGGUGGGGAGCGAACAGG
rnacentral:rRNA from 1 species